ACGGAAUUUUACGUAUUCAUCCGUUUUGUCUGUAUCGCGAAGUUUGGGAGUCGUUUUUGUUGAAGCGAUUCCACGCAUUUUCGAGUGCUGAUAUUUUGGCUUGAAAAUAAGAAGCCGU
rfam:Drosophila persimilis strain MSH-3 cont1.015490, whole genome shotgun sequence.